rnacentral:rRNA from 1 species
UACGAAGGGGGCUAGCGUUGCUCGGAAUCACUGGGCGUAAAGGGUGCGUAGGCGGGUCUUUAAGUCAGGGGUGAAAUCCUGGAGCUCAACUCCAGAACUGCCUUUGAUACUGAAGAUCUUGAGUUCGGGAGAGGUGAGUGGAACUGCGAGUGUAGAGGUGAAAUUCGUAGAUAUUCGCAAGAACACCAGUGGCGAAGGCGGCUCACUGGCCCGAUACUGACGCUGAGGCACGAAAGCGUGGGGAGCAAAGCAGGG